rnacentral:lncRNA from 1 species
CAUUCAUUUACCAAAUAAACUUUGAGCAGGUGCUGCACAUCAGGCCUGUGUGAGGCAGGAGGGAUACAAUGGUAACAAGCAUGUUUCCUGCUCUGAAGACACCCAUCCCAUUCAUUCUGAUAAAGGAGAAAGACAAAAAAGAAAACCCAUCUGGACAUAAACCCCAACUAAACAUACAAGUAGGUAAAUGGCUGCAUGUUGUUCUAUAGGCUUCAAAGGAAACCAUCAAGGGCUGACAUUUGAACUCUACCUUCAGGUGGGCAGGAAAGGCCCCCCCAUGAAGGAGAGACCCAAAGAAGAGGCCCAAAGGACAGACCCAAAGGAGACCCAAAGGAGAGACUCAAAGGAAGAGCAAGUGCUGGCUGCAAGUGUGUGGGGGAGAGCAUCUGGAUAGAGGGCAAAACCCAGCAUGAGCUCAGCAGAUUAAAGGAACUGAGAGGGGACUCCUUUGCCUUGCCCGAUGAGCAAUAAGCAUUUUCUUCUUCUUUCUUUCUUUUCAAAAUUAUUGGUUCUUUUCAGUUAUCCAUGACAGUAGAAUCCAUUUUGACAUAAUUAUACAAGCAUGGAGUAUAUAUUGUUCUAAUUCAGUUCCCAGUACCUCGCCUUCCCCUUCUCUCCCCCACCCUCAGCUUCCUUCCCUCUACUGACCUUUCUGCCAUAUACCCAUAAUUAUUUUUUAAAAAUUAAUUUUUUUUGUGGAUGUGCAUGAUGGCGAGGUUCACUGUGGUAUAUUCAUGUAUAUAGGAAAGUUAUGUCAGAUUUAUUCUGCUGUCUUUCCUUUUCCUAGUCCCACUCCCUUCCCAUUAUUUCCCUUUGUCUACUUUACUGAACUUCUAUUCUUUUUUUUUUUGUCCCCGACCCCGCUUAUUGUGGGUUAGCGUUCCAUGUUAGAGAAAACAUUUGACCUUUGGAUUUGGGGAAUUGGCUAAUUUCACUUAGCAAUAAGCAUUUUCUUUCUUUUUUAAGAAUAUUGUUUUAGUUCUAGAUAGAAACAAUAUCUUUAUUUUUAUUGGUUUUUAUGUGGUGCUGAGGAUCGAACCCAGGACCUCACACAUGUGAGGCAAACGCUCUUCCACUGAGCCACAACUCCAGCCCAGGAAUAAGCAUUUUCUAAUGGACAAUGUAAAGAGCCCAGGAAUGGAGGAAGUCAAGUAUCUUUACAGGCCUGUUCUGGAAAGAGCUUUAUUUUUAAGGAGACAGACUGGCAGUGCUUGUGUGUGCGUACAUGUAUGUGUGAAUUUAUGCCAAGACAAUCGCUAGGCAUUUGUUUCUUUCUAUAAUUAAAGAAUGUGACACGAUUACAACUUAGCUGGAGUUACUCCUUUCUUUGAAAAUAGACUGGCAGCAAGCUUUGGGACUGAGAAUAGGUAGACUUUGUGGCUGAUGACUGAAGCCCUGAGAAAAACAAGGGUACAGUUAUGUGUGACGUAUGUAGUGGCACCCACUCCUCCACAGAAAAUCUGAAUUAAGCUUCUCCAGAGACCCUCAUCAUAACUGUUCUUAGACAGUCAGCAAGAAUUUCUGAAAAAGUUUUCAGGCGGGAGGUGUGUUGCAGAAGCAGGAUGUGAUAAGAAAGGCUAACCUGAGGCCUCCAUAGAGGCUUGAAUUCCAGGCCUGGGCUCAAAGCCCAGAACAGUGAAAAAAGCUGCUUUUGUGUAGACUUCUGUAGAUGGUGAGCCUCUGAGCCCCUCCUCCUACACACUGGGUAAAAAGUUCUGAAACUUUCUAAAGUCGGGGUUCAGGGGAUUGAUCCACUGUGGUGAAAGCCUUUUCCCCCUCUGGACCU